GUCUGUAUGGUGGCUAUAUAGAGUCUAGCCUGCCCACUGAUAUAAAUUAAAGGGCCGCGGUAUUCUGACCGUGCGAAGGUAGCAUAAUCAUUAGUCUCUUAAUUGGAGGCUUGUAUGAAUGGUUGGACAAGAAGUAAUCUGUCUCUAUUAUACAAAUUGAACUUAACUUUUAAGUGAAAAGGCUUAAAUACCUUAGGGGGACGAUAAGACCCUAUAAAGCUUUACAACAAAAUAAAAUGUAUUAGCACUCGUACAAGUAUAACCUAAUCCACUUAAGAGUUGUUUCGUUGGGGCGACGAGGAUAUAAUAAAAUAACUGUUCUUUAAUAAAAAGUACAGUAAUUGCUGUAUAAAAAUUGAUCCUUUAUUAAAGAUCAAAAGAUUAAGUUACUUUAGGGAUAACAGCGUAAUCUUCUUUAAGAGUUCAUAUCGACAAGAAGGGUUGCGACCUCGAUGUUGAAUUAAGGUAUCCUUGUGGCGCAGCAGUUACAGAGGAAGGUCUGUUCGACCUUUAAAUCCUUACAUGAUUUGAGUUCAGACCGGCGUAAG
rnacentral:rRNA from 1 species